UACAGAGGGUGCAAGCGUUAAUCGGAAUUACUGGGCGUAAAGCGCAUGUAGGUGGGUAUUUAAGUCGAUUGUGAAAUCCCCGGGCUCAACCUGGGAAUUGCAGUCGAUACUGAAUGCCUAGAGUAUGGGAGAGGAGAGUGGAAUUUCCGGUGUAGCGGUGAAAUGCGUAGAUAUCGGAAGGAACACCAGUGGCGAAGGCGCCUCUCUGGCCUAAUACUGACACUAAAGUGCGAAAGCGUGGGGAGCAAACAGGAUUAGAUACCCUGGUAGUCCACGCCGUAAACGAUGAGAACUGGGCGCUGGGAGGCUUUGUCCUCUUAGUGCCGAAGCUAACGCGUUAAGUUCUCCGCCUGGGAAGUACGGCCGCAAGGUUAAA
rnacentral:rRNA from 1 species